GGAGGAAAAGAAACCAACAGGGAUUGCCUCAGUAACGGCGAGUGAAGCGGCAACAGCUCAAAUUUGAAAGCUGGCUCCUUCGGGGCCCGCGUUGUAAUUUGUAGAGGAUGCUUCGGGCGCGGCACCGGUCUAAGUUCUCUGGAACGAGACGUCAUAGAGGGUGAGAAUCCCGUAUGUGACUGGCUGCCUGUGCCCAUGUGAAGCUCCUUCGACGAGUCGAGUUGUUUGGGAAUGCAGCUCAAAAUGGGAGGUGUACUCCUUCUAAAGCUAAAUAUUGGCCAGAGACCGAUAGCGCACAAGUAGAGUGAUCGAAAGAUGAAAAGCACUUUGGAAAGAGAGUUAAACAGUACGUGAAAUUGUUGAAAGGGAAGCGCUUGCAAUCAGACUUGCGCGGCGUCGAUCAGCCUGGGUUCUCCCUGGUGCACUCGGCGCCGCUCAGGCCAGCAUCAGUUUCGGCGGUGGGAUAAAGGCCUAGGGAACGUGGGUCCCCUCGGGGACCGUUAUAGCCCUAGGUGCAAUGCCGCCUGCCGGGACUGAGGACCGCGCUUCGGCUAGGAUGCUGGCGUAAUGGUUGUAAGCGACCCGUCUUGAAAAACGG
rnacentral:rRNA from 1 species